CUUGUCGGGUGAGUUCCGACCCGCACGAAAGGUAGAAUGACCGAAUAACUGUCUUGAACAUUUACCCGGCGAAAUUGAGAUGGCUGUGAAGACGCGGCCUAGUUGUCCUAGGACAAAAAGACCCCGGGAGCUUUACUGUAGCUUCGCAUUUGAAAGAUUAUUUUAACUGUCGAGAAUAGGAGGGACCCCGCCGCAAGGCGGGGGUCAGUGGAAUACCUCUCUUUAAAAUGGUUGAUCAUUAUUCUUAUCCCGCAUAAAAAUCCGGGAAGAAGACAGUGCGUGGUGGGCAGUUUGACUGGGGAGGUCGACUCCUAAAAUGCAACGGAGUUGUACAAAGGUUGGCUUAGCACGGAUGGAAAUCGUGCUGAGCACGGAUGGAAAUCGUGCUGAAUCCGCAUAGGGAAAAGCCAGCUUGACUGUGAGACGUACGUGUCGAGCAGGUACGAAAGUAGGUCUAAGUGAUCCUGUAGAUCCUGUUGGUCAGGCUACAGCUUAACGGAUAAAAGCUACCCCGGGGAUAACAGGCUGAUCGCCUCCAAGCGUCCACAGCGACGAGGCGGUUUGGCACCUUAUGUGAUACACAUUGGGGUGCCUGUAUUUUAAGUAAUUAAAAUACAAACCUGUAUUUCACAGGGAACCCCGCCAAAAGCGGGGUAAAGAUUGAUAGGUCUUUUUGUGAAAGUAAAAAUACUAGUCCAAAUCGGUGGACUCCUUUCGAAAUAGAACAACGAAAGGACAAUACCGAGAGGAGUUCAGUUAUCAGUUCUCGGUUUUCAGUUUUCAGGUUCCAGUUUUUCGGUUUUCGGUCAUUCAGACUGAUAGACAGAUAACUGAUUGACCAAAUUCUGAUAACCGACCACAGAAAACAGAUAACCGGAUUUCUUGUAUCGACUGUCCCCGAUGAUAGUUUUCAUCGGGGCGAUGUGCAAAUGUUUGUCAAGCGCAUAAAACGGCUAGUGCUGAGGUCGCCUUAGGCGACCGAAGUAAAGGUAUAGUCAAAGCCCUUAGUAAUAAGGGAUGCACAUAACAGUUAAUUGUUAAUUUGUCGUUUUCGUUAAUUGUUAUGAUUGCGAUGUCGGCUCAUCUUAUCCAGGGGGUGUAGAAGCUCCCAAUGGUCGGGCUGUUCGCCCGUUAAAAAGGUACGCGAGCUGGGUUCAGAACGUAAGUUACAUUGCGUUCUACCACAGUAAUGUGGUAUAAAUAAUUACUGACUAAAAUCGGAGAAACCCUCUUAAAGCAUUCGAACUGGCUUUAAAGGGUAACACCGAGGGUAAGUCAAAAGAGGUUUGAAGAAAGAAGAGUUGUCCUACAUAGCAGGGUUUCUGGAUGGAGAUGGAUGUAUUAUGCUUCAAUUGGUAUUUCGAGCAGAUUAUAGACUCGGAUAUCAGAUAAGAGCGAGCAUCGUCUUCUAUCAGAAGCAGAAAUAUAAGAAUUUUCUAUUUUGGUUAAAGGGAAAGUUUCAAGUAGGGUAUAUCAGGGACAGAAAUGAUGGAAUGUCUGAAUAUACUAUUGUUGGAUCAAAACCAGUUAUAGGAAUUCUUAAAAAGCUAAUGCCUUAUCUUAGAUUAAAAAAGGAUCAGGCGGAGCUUGCCCUUGAGGUCCUGGCAAAAAUGCCAGGAUCAGGUAGGAAAAUGAACUCUAGAAUAUUGCUAGAACUUUCUUUAGAAGUUGACAAAUUUGCUGAAUUGAAUUAUUCAAAAAAGCGAACCAAUACUUCUGAGAAAGUAAGGCAGUUUCUAAAUAAAUCUCUUUUGAAUCCCGUAGAGACUGAAGUUUAACAACUUCGAUUCCAUAACAUUGGAAUAAUACGUCAGCGCCUACUCCUACAAUUGUAGGACAAGAGGAUGAAGAUAUAGUCCAUGCCAUUAGAAAUAGUGGGUAAACAUGCGUAAGACAGUUCGGUCUCUAUCCAGGACAACCGAUUUGAGAUUUGAAGGGAGUCGCCCCUAGUACGAGAGGACUGGGGUGAGGGAAUCCCUGGUGUGCCGGUUGUGUGAAAACACGCAGCGCCGGAUAGCUAGAUUCCCAUGGGAUAACCGCUGAAAGCAUCUAAGUGGGAAGCCCACCCUAAGAUAAGAUCUCUUAGUGCCCUAGUAGAUCACUAGGUUGAUAGGAGAGAGGUGUAAGACUGGUAACAGUUUUAGCUUACUCUUACUAAUAGCACGAA
rnacentral:rRNA from 1 species